GACGAACGCUGGCGGCGUGCCUAAUACAUGCAAGUCGAGCGGACCGAACGAGGGCUUGCUCUUGUUUGGUCAGCGGCGGACGGGUGAGUAACACGUGGGCAACCUGCCCGCAAGACCGGGAUAACUCCGGGAAACCGGAGCUAAUACCGGAUAACACCGAAGACCGCAUGGUCUUCGGUUGAAAGGCGGCCUUUGUGCUGUCACUUGCGGAUGGCCCCGCGGCUCAUUAAGUAGGUGGUGAGGUAACGGCUCAACAAGGCGACGAUGCGGGGCCGGCCCGGGAGGGUGACCGGCCCACACGGGACGGAGACACGGCCCAGACUCCCACGGGGGGGAGCAGUAGGGGAUCUUUCGCAAUGGGCGGAAGCCCUGCGGGGCGACGGCGGGUGGGGGGAGAAGGCUCUUGGGUUGUAAAGCUCUGGUGUGAGGGACGAAGGAGCGGCGUUCGAAGAGGGGGGCGCAGUGACGGUACCUAACGAGAAAGCCCCGGCUAACUACGUG
rnacentral:rRNA from 1 species